GCCAGUUCAAACUCCCACCCCACAUGGCACUGUCCAGCUCCGCCAGACACACAGAUCCUGUCUGCACCCUGAGUUCUAUGGCUGCUGCUCAAUGACUGAACGUAACAAAGGCAGCGAGAGAGAGAUUAUCAAUACAGUAUCAAUUCUCCAGUGCCCCCUUCUGCUCCCCCCCCCUCUGCAGGGCUGUGUCUUCACUGACUGAUCAGUCCCUGGGACUGAUUUGCACCAACUUGAUUUUCCACUCUGCAAAACUUAUCGAUAGUGACGUCACGUGGCAAACAAUACACCCUUGGAGAAGGAGAGAGCAAAUCAAUUAACAUGUGUGGCUUGAGACGCUGUGUGAUAAUAAAAAAAUAGUCUCCCCUCCUUUCCCAGGUUGUCUGGUGUUAUAGAGUGCAUACGGCCUGUGCAGUGGGGGGUUCAUGGGUCUACAGUAUGAUUUAUAAUGGAUGUUGUGACUUGAGUGGGGUGAUGCAGUGAAAUGAAUGUAUGCUGUGCACUCUGACUGGGGAUUACA